CCUACGGGAGGCUGCAGUGGGGAAUAUUGGACAAUGGGGGCAACCCUGAUCCAGCCAUGCCGCGUGUGUGAAGAAGGCCCUCGGGUUGUAAAGCACUUUCAGUGAGGAAGAACGCCUGGUGGUUAAUACCCAUCAGGAAAGACAUCACUCACAGAAGAAGCACCGGCUAACUCCGUGCCAGCAGCCGCGGUAAUACGGAGGGUGCGAGCGUUAAUCGGAAUUACUGGGCGUAAAGCGCGCGUAGGUGGCUUGAUAAGCCGGUUGUGAAAGCCCCGGGCUCAACCUGGGAACGGCAUCCGGAACUGUCAAGCUAGAGUGCUGGAGAGGAAGGUAGAAUUCCCGGUGUAGCGGUGAAAUGCGUAGAGAUCGGGAGGAAUACCAGUGGCGAAGGCGGUCUUCUGGACUGACACUGACACUGAGGUGCGAAAGCGUGGGUAGCAAACAGGAUUAGAUACCCGGGUAGUC
rnacentral:rRNA from 1 species